rnacentral:rRNA from 1 species
UACAGAGGUCUCAAGCGUUGUUCGGAUUCAUUGGGCGUAAAGGGUGCGUAGGUGGCGCCGUAAGUCAGGUGUGAAAUCUCGGGGCUUAACCCCGAAACUGCACUUGAUACUGCGGUGCUCGAGUACUGGAGAGGAGAUUGGAAUUUACGGUGUAGCAGUGAAAUGCGUAGAUAUCGUAAGGAAGACCAGUGGCGAAGGCGAAUCUCUGGACAGUUACUGACACUGAGGCACGAAGGCCAGGGGAGCAAACGGG